UACGUAGGGUGCGAGCGUUGUCCGGAAUUACUGGGCGUAAAGAGCUCGUAGGUGGUUUGUCGCGUUGUUCGUGAAAUCUCACGGCUUAACUGUGAGCGUGCGGGCGAUACGGGCAGACUAGAGUACUGCAGGGGAGACUGGAAUUCCUGGUGUAGCGGUGGAAUGCGCAGAUAUCAGGAGGAACACCGAUGGCGAAGGCAGGUCUCUGGGCCAUAACUGACGCUGAGAAGCGAAAGCAUGGGGAGCGAACAGG
rnacentral:rRNA from 1 species